UACGUAGGGCGCAAGCGUUAUCCGGAAUUAUUGGGCGUAAAGAGCUCGUAGGCGGUUUGUCGAGUCUGCGGUGAAAGUCCGGGGCUCAACUCCGGAUCUGCGGUGGGUACGGGCAGACUAGAGUGAUGUAGGGGAGACUGGAAUUCCUGGUGUAGCGGUGAAAUGCGCAGAUAUCAGGAGGAACACCGAUGGCGAAGGCAGGUCUCUGGGCCAUAACUGACGCUGAGAAGCGAAAGCAUGGGGAGCGAACAGG
rnacentral:rRNA from 1 species